CCCGGCGCACAAAGAGCCCCGGCCCGCCCCCCCUUACCGGCGGUCGGCGCCGCGCUGCGGGGGCGGCGGCGGGCGGCUCCAGUCACGCCGGGAACCAUGGAAAGCAGCCGGGACGGGAGACAGACCAGAGCGGGACCGCGGACGGCAGCAGCUCAGAGCCUCCACUUCCCUCCUGGCUCUCCAAACCUUCCAGACAGGAAGAACUCCACACCGCUGGGCACCACGGGCUCCCACAGCACCCUGCCACAGCCAGAGACUGCUCGGGUGCACGGCUGUGGGUGCUGGAGCCCGAGCACAGGUGUGGGAUGGUCCAGAGCUCUCACAGGACAGCUCUUCGUGCUGAGAGUUGUUCUGCUCCAUCAUUUCAUCUGUGUCUGGCAGAUGAGCAGUCCUGGGUAAAGAUGUGGAAGGCUCUGACAGGGAACACAGAGUAGGAGUGGGAAUACUGGAGGCAAAGCUUCGGUUUUCAGCGCCUACUGAACAUGUGCCUCAUCAUUUUCUUCCCCAAGUUAGCGCAGAUCAGACUCUUCCGAGGCACAGCGCCUUGCAGUGAGCUUUGGUGGCUGCAAUCUCCUCCUAAUCCAGGCUUGUUUCAGGGAAAACAGGCAAUUUUAUAUCCCUUUGAUAUGGGUCUUAGCUGCUAAUGAUGCUAGGAAGUAAAAAGAAAUGGGCAUAGAAAUACACAACUAUGAAGAAUUAAAAUAGUGAAUUUAAUUCAGCCAAUUCCAAAAUCGGUAAUUCCCUGAAAAACAAACCUUGCACAGAAAACACAGAACAGAAACGGUUUCAUCUUGACAGCUGGUGAAAACAACUGGGUGAAAAGGUGAAUGGAAUAUUUCUGACUUGUCUGGAAAACACCAGGUUUCACACAUCCUGAAAAUGCCCUAUUUUUUACUAAAUGGGUCGGUUUGUGAGGCAGUGAUUGUAAAUGCUCUGCUAGGAAAGCACAGGUUUGUGCUCUGAACUGCAGAUGCCAAAUGUCUGGUUUUCAGAAAGCACUGAUGCUUCCCUAAAGGAAAAGUUCUAAUAAUCAUAGAAACUUGGAACGCUUCGGGCUGGAAGGGAAACUCACAGCUCAUCUCACUCUAAGCCCCCACCAGAGCAGGGACACAUUCCACUAGACUAGCCCAGAAACCUGAAGAACAACAACAAAAAAUGUAUUCUUUUCAAGAAUCACAAGCCUGGCUUGCCCAGCGGCCCCGAUUUGGGCUGCAGGGCGAUGCAGAGCGCGCUGCAAGGACGCGAGGCUGCGGCUGUCCCGGGCGUGUGGAGGGAGCUGGCCGGGCAGCCUGGCUCAGCUCCUCAGCACUGAAACACUCUUUCCAAAGCAACACCAAAAAAGGUUUGUUUCUAGGUCAGGACCUCAGCACUCAAUUUUAACCAGGGGCUGACAGUCCGGUCUGAGCACAGCUGUAAAAUGGAUUCGCGGGAGAAGCUUUGGCAUUCCUUUUGUAAUUAGGAAACGGCCACUGAGGCGUGUGCCUUUAAAGGUGAAAGCUAUUUUUGACAUAAAAAUUAGCACGCAGUUCCUCUGUCAUGCCUCGGCUGCUGCGCUGGGAGCUGCGAGUGAACAACCCAAAGAGAAGCAAGAAGUAUAAACAUGCUGAAUUAUACAAAUACGUAGAAGGGGAUCAGGUUUAAUUUGUUUUAUUCUCUGACAGUUAGGAGACAAGGAGAUUUAUUUUUACACUUUUUCUCCUAAAAAGCACUGGUUAAAAGGUCCACUUAAGCACUGAAACCCCAAUGGCAUUAAAAAACUUGAAGAGCUUUUAAUAGCUACCUUUUGAAAUUACUGUUAAAUCUAUUUUUGAGAUGGAUAAACUAAGCUACCAAUGAAGCAGGGCAGGAGUUUUUUGGAAGGGCCCAGCAGUGAGAAACUGUCAUUCAUUUCUCAACAACUCAGCUCGUGCACAGGGACCCUGAGAUAAAAACUACCACAGUGCUCGAUGCUUUAACAACCUGAGCAUUAUUUAAAUUCCAAUUUUCUCUCUUUGGUGGGAAUCUAACCCCGACAGCCUUGAAAAUGAACCCCAGGCAGUUUUCAGGAUACGGCUCAGAGUGGCUGUUUCUAAAAUAAAAGUGAGGGAAGAGCGAGCAGAACUUGGAGGCUUAUCAGCACCCGGAAUGCCCCGGCUAAUCCUCGGCAGCCCCGGCCCCUUUAUGUAACCUGGGAUUGCUGCAGCUCAGCAGCUUACUGGGGUCUGGCUGGUUUUCUUUAAACCUCUUGUGGACAAAUGCAAACACAUUAAAUACUUCUUUCUUUUGCCUCUCUAAGGAAAAAAAUUGUUGUAAGAGGGGGAAAAAGUGUUUUAUUUGUAUCAAUGGCAAAUAGAAUUAAACUGCUAUGCUGAGACUAAAACGUGUUUCUCUCUGAUCCAUCGUGACUGAACAGAACUUUCCCAAUUUACAACACUCGGGUGUAACGCUUGAAAAAAAGGCUGAAUCCCAAAUUUCUCUUCACCCCGAACACUCUCUGGAGGUGCUGGGGUGUUCCAAAUAAAGGGAAAACCAGCCCCUUUAUAGCCUGUACCCCAUUUCUGCAGCGUGGCUGGCUGUGCUGCAAUACUUACGUCCCCGUGGCCACCUCCCCGCGGCUCUCCUUGCCCGGAGGACGCCCUUCCGUGCCCUCCAUCUGCCUGCUCUGACUCUGCACAGCACACAUCCUUCCAAGGCAAAAUGCAGCUCUCCAGCUCUCGGCCGGCGCUAAGCCAUUCACCUCACGCUGAAUGCUCACGGAAACUUCAGAAGGAAAAAAAUAAACCCCCUAUUGAACUGCCUGCAAUCGGAGACCUGAAUGGGCUCGAUAUAAACCCCACUCGAACCAGCGGCAGCAAUAGGCUUCCCUGGAUGUUGGAUUCCAUCCAGCUUAAAAGUUUCCAUGAAAUAAACUAGGCUAAGCGCAUCAGCUGCAUAGGAACUAACUCGGUGUAACAGGAGCAUCUGUUCUUCACGUCCACCAUUUUCUCAGAGCCUGAACCCGGCGGCGCGAGGUGCCAGCGGAUGCCCGGCCGCGCCGGCACGGGCACGGGCACGGAUCAGCGGGGAGCAUGCACGUCGUAUAAACUACUGCACCAGGUAGCUUUUGUUUGUCAGAAAAACAGCUUAAUGUAUUUGCAAGGAUGGCAUUACAGAGCGAAGUCAACGUCCGCACUGAGACAGCAGAGGAGCACACCUCGGACCCAUUAAUACACGGUACAAAGCAAAUGUUUACCCAAGUACAAAUGAAACAGGUCGACAAUUAGCUAAUGCAGCUUUGUGGACAUAAACCAGGUACAGUCGAGCAGAACCAACAUAAAAUAAAAAGGAAACAGCCCUUUUCCUACGCCACGCUAAGAGCACCGUGGUUAGCGGUUUGGGAAGCCUCUGUCACGGUGAAAGAUUUCCUUGCCGGUGUUUAAUGUGUUUAUUCUACUGCUACACUGCUGGGAUAAAAAUAACAGCUGGCUGAACGAGGGACCCACUGUCAAUACUGCAGUAAUUGACAACAUACAGUUAAGUCUCACACCUGUUUAUUGUAAGUAAUUCAUAGAUAACCACUUCUAGUACACAUUUUCAUAUUGGCUUUUAAUGCUUUUGUUCUCUUUUUCUUUUUUUUCAAGCUCAGGGAUACCCAAAUUUCACCUAAGGGUCGUCACUGUGGUUACCCAGACCCAGAAGGCUGUACCUACUUUGGGAGACUGGCUGGUGCAAGGUGGUGUGGUGGCCAGGGAUGGCAGAGAUGGCUGGGGAACUACAGGUCCCAACAUGCAGGACGGUGUGGAGGUGGCAGCGGGGCCGGGGCAGCGGGGCUGGGGACAUGCUGGCGGGCUGGCCGUGCGCGCCGGGCUCUACACAGGGCCAAAACAAAGACCUCUAACACCUGGAGUAAGAACAGUGGUAACAAAGUCAUAGCUACAUAUUCUUCUCUACAUUUUUGUUUAUUGAGACAAACUAAUUAAAAGGCACAAACAUAGGGCAUAUGUUUACAUGGACAUUAUAACAAACAUAUACAUUAAAAGUGUAGGAAUGUGUUUCCUUUCUGCUAAACAGAAAGUUCCUAAGCUUUUAUAUAUACAAAAGUUGUACAAUUUGAUGUCCUAAAGUACAAAAGAUCAUUUAUAAAAUUAUUUUACACUAAGCUCUAUUAUUUUUUUUGUUUGUUUUUGUUUUACUAUGUAGUCCAAGCCCCUAGAACAGUUUCACGUAAGGAUACAGAUACCUGUCACCUGAGCCAGCAGCCUGGCAAUCACUGCUCACGGACACGGCCGGGGAGGAACGGAAGCAGUCCAGUGUGACUGGUCAGUCCUGCUAGCACUCUGUGAAAAUGCACACGCUAAUCUCCAGAGCUCUCAAAUUCAUUAAGAUAAAAACAUCUCAACUGUAAUUUCUUUUUUUUUUUUUCCUCUUUUUUUUUUAUUUUAUUUAAUGUAGAGGUUGGGUUUAGGGUGGUUCGUUUUUUUUUUUAAACAAAGUUUUAAAAAUGUGAAUAUGUGACAUGAUAGUCUAAAAAGUAUAUCUGUUUCCCUAGACUUUGCUUUCUACUUUAUGUACAGAUAAACAGGUUAAGAAAAAAAAGCACAUGUAGCUUAAACAUGUGUGACCAUUUAUGAGCAGUUCUGGGCUGGACAGCUCAGCACCCCAGAACUCCCACAAAUUGAUAGAAAUGUGUUAACACAAUAGAAGGAUAACGUAAAAAUGAUGAUGUUUGCAAAUAUUUACAAAGUUGAACAGAUUUGCACAACACUUGAUUAAGAAAUAGGGGAGAAAUUAAAAGACGCUCUCUGCUUGUCCUGGAGGGGCAUCCUACCUAGUUAGUGGUUAGAAUAAAAACUGUAUACAAUUUAAUAUAAGACAAAACUUCUAGUGAACAACUAACACGUCUGUCCCCUGCUGAAACACCAGCAGGCUCUGACUGGGAGGCAGAGGGCAUAAAAAUCACACCCAGGGCCUCCAGAAUCUUCCAGCUUAAAGCAAUUUUCCUUAAGUUUCCAAGCACUCCUUUUGCUCCUAGAUAAGAGUCCCAUGGGGGUCUGACUGUUCAGAGACCAUGUUUACAUACAUUUCGACUCCUCUUCUGUCAGCCAUGGCUGUUUCUCACCAAACAAUAACAGGUUUUUUUUUUAAAAAAUGUUGACUACAAUGCUCUAUUCCCUUAGGGUAAUAUGUUGGGUAAUAUUUACAUCUCCAAAUAUCAGGUCACAAUCCCUAUUAUAUGUUGAAGUUAGAAUGAUAAGUUAUCAUAUGCUUUGCAUAUCAGAGCUGGUAUCACCUUUCCCAUAGGGAAUGCUGCCUGAAAUUACCAUAUUCCCAAAGGUAAAAUGCAUAUUUUCUCCAAAAAUGCAUUUUUUUUUUUUAAAUGACAACAUUGUAAUGCAUUUACUAAUUAAAGAAAAAAACAAAAACCAAAACAUCAACACAGACAAAGGUUCUACACUAGCUCAGAAACAGUGGACUUGCCUGGCAGGUUCAAAUGAGCCAUCCACCCUGUCACAGAUACAGAGGGGUCUUCGCUAGUGUUUAGAUUAAAAUGAUUUUCUAAGUUAUAAUUUGAGGGGAUAAAACAUAAAACUGGUUUUUAAUUACCUUUUUUUUUUUUGGUAUUUUUUCCUUUUUUUUAACUCUGGCAAAUAAGUAUCUGCUCUAAUUCAGCAUCAGUCAGCUACAAUGUAAAACUUACUUUAAAUGAAGUGCUCCAGUGAAACUCAAGCCUGAACCAUGUGAGCCAAAUCAAGGGGAAGAUGCUACUGUGGUCUCUGAUGGUGCUGCCCCAGUGUCUUAUCUGAAUUUAUUAUUAACUAAAACAAAACAAAACAAAAAAACCCAACAGAACAAAACAAAACAAAACAAAACAAAACAAAA